GCGGGGCAGCGGGGCUGGGCUCCGGCCGGGAGUCAGACGAGGGAGCGCGCGCGCGCUCCCGGACAGUUCUCCGCAGCCGCUCGCCCGAGCCUUCUACUUGGCCAACACAGCUGCCUCUACCACCUCGCGUGCCCGGUUCGUGGGCUUUCAGUUACCAAGCAUGUCCUGAAGAUGAAGAUACUCUCAGCCUAACGUCUCCAAGCAAAUAUUGAUUCAGCAGUAUCCCCAGGCAAAGCCACACCAUAUAUCAGUGAACAGAGAAACAACUGCCCUUCUCCGGGCCCCUGUCUGAGAAGCUGGAGCAUCAGCCCUGGAGCUCUCCGGAGCAGUUUCCUUGCUCACUGUCCCCAGCUGAACACAGGUUGGUCAGAUCUACUCCCGUUCCCACUCUGCCCCCAUCUCUCCCCUCUGUGCUUGCCAAGCAGUAAGUAGACUGCUCAUAUUUGUGGAAUGAGUAGUGUGUUGGUGUCCCCAGUAGCAGACCUGGCAAUGAGACUUCAUGUGCCAUAUGAAGGGAGUGUUCCAGGGGACAAAAAUAAGGGAAUAGAGAUAGGACAAGGGUGGGUGAGGGGGCAGAGCACUGGAGUUGGGCUGUCCCCCUCACCUCCACUCCUAAACGUCAGACUGCAGGGUUCUUCAAGGAACACAGAAACUCAGGCAUGUGUGCCGAAGCAAUGGCAGGAAGCAAUGAGGACCUGGGUGGGGUGCCUGUGUCUGUCAGUACAACUGUCUGGCUUUCUACUGCUGUGAUGAAAUACUGUGACCAAAAGCCACUUGGGUAGGAAAGAGGUUAUUUUACAUUACAGCUUCUAAGUCCACCACUGUGGGAAAGCCAGGGCAGAAACCUAGAGCAGAAACCAAGGAAACACUGCCUACUGGCCUGUUCUCAUGGUUUGCCCAUCCUGUUUUCUUAUACCAUCUAGGACCACUUACCCAUGGGUGCCACUGCCCACAGUGAGAUGGACCCUCCCACAUCAAUUAUCAGUCAAGAAAAUGUCCCACAGACCAAUUCUGUGGAGGGACAUUUUUUUUCAGUUGAUGGUCUCUUCCCAACUGAUUCUAGCUGUGUUGAGAUGACAUAAAUAGUAGCCAGCAUACCAUCCAAACAGACAGCAAAGCCAAGGCAGCCUUCAGGCCUGCUGUCACUUCAUCCUGUCCUUCCUAGGACCAGAGGGGAUACUGCCUGCUCAGGAAAGCCAAGAGGAGCCUGCUUCUCCUGAAAUGUAAAAAGUACACUGUGCAUAUGGAAAGCAUUAUUGUGUUUCACUGUGCAUCGCCAGAUUCUUCUUGCAAAACAUUGAAGCUUAGCUCAUAAUUUGGUGAUAAAAUAUUGAUUAUUUAUCCACAGCCGCAUGCAGAGGUCCAAAGCACGUAAACAGGAUACCCACCCUGCAUUAUCUUAUAUUUUAAGUCAAUAUGAAGAUGGACAUUCUACCCCUGAGACCAAUUUCGAUCAAAUACUUUUGUCAAUAAAAAGAUACUAAUGUC
rnacentral:lncRNA from 1 species